rnacentral:rRNA from 1 species
UACAGAGGGUGACGAGCGUUAAUCGGAAUUACUGGGCGUAAAGCGUGCGUAGACGGUUAUUUAAGUCGGGUGUGAAAGCCCCGGGCUCAACCUGGGAAUUGCAUUCGAGACUGAAUAGCUAGGGUACGGUAGAGGGAAGCGGAAUUUCCGGUGUAGCGGUGAAAUGCGUAGAUAUCGGAAGGAACAUCAGUGGCGAAAGCGGCUUCCUGGACCAGUACCGACGUCAGGCACGAAAGCGUGGGGAGCAACAGG